rnacentral:rRNA from 1 species
UCGGUCCCUAUCUGCCGUGGGCGUUGGAAAAUUGAAGGGGGCUGCUCCUAGUACGAGAGGACCGGAGUGGACGAACCUCUGGUGUUCGGGUUGUCAUGCCAAUGGCAUUGCCCGGUAGCUAAGUUCGGAAUCGAUAACCGCUGAAAGCAUCUAAGCGGGAAGCGAGCCCUGAGAUGAGUUUUCCCUGACGCUUUAAGCGUCCUAAAGGGUUGUUCAAGACUAGAACGUUGAUAGGCAGGGUGUGUAAGCGCUGUGAGGCGUUGAGCUAACCUGUACUAAUUGCCCGUGAGGCUUAACCAU